AUAAUCAGAUUUUACCUUUGUCAGCACAGAAGUUCUGAACAGCUGCCCAAUAUUUCUGACAUUCUGUAUACACAUGCACUUUACAAAACAUACCAAUAAAACCCCCCAAACCAACACCUUUUUUCCAUUCAAUGUAAGGUUACCCAGAACACCACAGUCCACAGGCAACUUGGGAAGUGAGGGACAACUGGACUACCAAAUAGGUCACAUUUUGUCGUAAAGGCAUGCUAAGGACAACUCUUGCAGACCGAAGAGGACCAAGCAGUAGGCAUGCAGUCAGAAGAGCUGCCAGACUUUAACUUUACCAUGUGUCACCCUCUGAAUUCUAACCAAGUCAGAGCUUGUCCUGAAAGGCUCCUGAAGUCAGCAAGAGAUGGCAAGCAGUACAUGUAUUUUAUUGCGAAACCUUAAAGUUAUUUUUGCCUGCUUUCUAGAUAAGUUAUAUUUAAACAAAAAGCCACAAAAGCUCACAAGCUCUCUCUUCUGAGCCUUGAGGAUCUUCCAGCACGUGCCUCAGAUGACUUGGUGCCACACAAACCCCCCCGGGUUUAACGUGCCCUGCCACAAGGGCCAUGGUGCCCUCACCCCGAGGCCAGCUGCCACCAUCCCACCAGGUCCCAUUUUGGGGAUGCUCACCUCGCAGCACCCCACAGCUGCACACCUGGGGUCGGGGCAGACGGUGAUGCCGGCCCUGAGGGAUGAGGCGCUUCGUGUGGGCACGCAGCCAUGUGCCGCCCUCACCAAGCCCGGCACUGAGGCAGCGGCAGCAGGCACCCAAGUGCUGCGCUUCCCCUCCGACGCUCCUGCACCACGCGUGAUUUGCAGUGAUUCAACCUCUAGGUACCUACUGAGACGGAAACAGAGAAAUUGGUUUUGAGAGCUCUGAAGCAGGCCAUGGCUCACAUAAGAAGCAGAUGCACUGAGGAGACGACUGCAAAUGGCAAAGAAACCAGAAUGUCCUGAGGAGCUCUGAGGCUGUGCUGCUGCCACUGCAGGGUGAGCUGGGGCUCCUGGGGCUUCCCAGGGCAUCUGCAGCAGGAGCUGCCAGGGACCGUCUGCAUUAUCUGCUGUAGAAAUGCACAUGGCAAGGGAGGACCAAAGGAAAAAAAAAUACCCCAUUUUGUACAGGAAUGAUAAUUCAUACGGUCGGGGAAGAACAUACUCAUUUUCCUGCUCUAAAAUGAAGCAGGGCAAGAAGAAAACAGUUUUUUUCAAAACAAGGAAUGAGGGCUGGCAAGCAGCUCAAAAACAUGUGGGCUGCUAAUUGUGUGGAUAUUGAUGCUAUUUGUUAUAUCACAAUUACAUGUAUAGACCAGGUAGUCAUUAUGCUGGAAAAAAAAAAUCACCUACAAGACAAUGUGCAGAUCUGUUCUCUCACAAUUGAAAAUGUAUUUUCUGUGCUCUGCCAUGGAACUGAGACCGGUGUCCUUGCUCCUUGUGCUGCCCCUGUUUGUCUGAAUGACACGUUGCUUUGGGUGAUAGCAUCUGCAAAGGGUGGUGCAAGAACCUUGGGUGGAUGACUUUCUUAUUCCCAGAGCCUUCCUCUUUGCAACUGGGAGACAGGAAUGCACUUCUUGCUACAGAAUUGUUUGUAGUCACCUAAGUUUUACUUGGUUCUUCCAGAGUUACUCUCCAGCCUCACCAGUGCCAAUAUACCACAGUGUGAGCAAUGCAACUUGAAAGAGAGAAGGAAGACCAGCUGUAUCCUGCAAGCAUGAGUACAAAAGGAAAUAAUGAGUAAACAGUGCUGGCAACACGUGAGCUGCUCUCAUUCUUUUCCCUAGGACCACAUGACUGCAAACUUCAAUACCGAGAAACUUAUUUCAACAAUAUGUACUCUUCCCUCUCAUUCCUUCCCCCCAUCAUUUCAAACAAAAUAAUUCCUGUUGGUAUCUAUGUUGGACAGUGUUAGAGAAGAAAACAUUCACACGAGCAUCAGUUUAGGAAGCUCUGUGGCUAGAUAAAAUACAGUGGAGCUCCUACUGUAGCCUUUUUUGCAGUGCAGCACAUCUGGAUAUCUUUUCCAGUUUCUGAUUUCCCCAAAGUUAAGAAUAUAAUAUCACCGAGUUCUCUACCCUCCACCAACUUUGGCUGAAGUAUUACUCUCCCCAAAACAAGGAAAGGGAACAGGUUAAGGAUGGGCUAGGCUUACCACCUUUUGGUACCUAGAGAACUCCGAAAAGUCAAGCUUGCCCUAACUGACCUACCUCUUUUUCAGGCAAAGUUCUCAGUAGAUAUUUCUCCUACAAAAGGACUUCAGAAUUUGGUGCACUACUUUUGAAAUUCCUAAGAAAGUUGAUUUUCCCAUCCCCUUAACCUGUUUAGCUAUUAUAUGGCUCUAGUUGUUUUCACAAGAUUUGUUUCACGGACUGAAGUGCAAGUAGCAAACAGUGAAUACAAGUAGGAUGAUCUCUUGACUUCGCUCCAUCUUCAUUUUGACAAUGGCUGAGAUGAUAGCAAACAUGAGAGUAAACAAAACAGUAAAUCUCUCCCAGCUUUUAGACAGGUUCUCAUCUAUUGAUAAACCUACAUAAUCUUCCUUGCUCUAGGCAGCAAUCAAGGCAUUGCAGACAUACCCUCAUAAAACCUCAGAAGGAAAAGAUUUCUCAAGGCUUGUACUGCAAUAAUUCAAAGUAGUUUUACUGCAGCCUUUAUCAAGGCAUCUUUUCUUUUACAUGUGUAAAAAAAGGGAAAUUUGUAAUUUAGGAAAUCAAGUUUUUAUUAAAUAAAUUCUUUAUAAAGGAAAACA
rnacentral:lncRNA from 1 species